rnacentral:rRNA from 1 species
AACGAACGCUGGCGGCAUGCCUAACACAUGCAAGUCGAACGAGAUCUUCGGGUCUAGUGGCGCACGGGUGCGUAACGCGUGGGAAUCUGCCCUUUGGUUCGGAAUAACGGUUGGAAACGACUGCUAAUACCGGAUGAUGACGAAAGUCCAAAGAUUUAUCGCCAGAGGAUGAGCCCGCGUAGGAUUAGCUAGUUGGUGUGGUAAAGGCGCACCAAGGCGACGAUCCUUAGCUGGUCUGAGAGGAUGAUCAGCCACACUGGGACUGAGACACGGCCCAGACUCCUACGGGAGGCAGCAGUGGGGAAUAGUGGACAAUGGGCAAAAGCCUGAUCCAGCAAUGCCGCGUGAGUGAUGAAGGCCUUAGGGUUGUAAAGCUCUUUUACCCGGGAUGAUAAUGACAGUACCGGGAGAAUAAGCUCCGGCUAACUCCGUGCCAGCCGCCGCCGUAA